rnacentral:pre_miRNA from 14 species
UCUCUGGAGAUGAGGGUGGUUGCCAAUCCUGGACGAGCCCCCAAAUGAAAGAGCCCCGAAGUGGGGAGACCCUUAUUCAAGUCUCGGAUGUCAUGACUCCCCAAGAACUCACUAGAGACC